GUGAAACGGUUCUACCGUAUUUUGGUAAAUCAACCUAGCCAUCGUCAAUCUCAUCGUGUGGUUUGUAGCGAAAAAACUUGUUCUUCCAUUUUUUGUAAAAUGGCGAGACUUGCCCCACUCUUAGUGCAGUAAGUGACGAAUAAAUUCAAGUUAAAUAGUGACAGCUUGGUUAUAUUUAAUUAAACACUGAAUUAAUUUUUGAAACUGCUCGUAUCGUGUAAGCAGCAUCUACCCAGGGCCUUGUUGCAGAGUUAUUGUAUAAGGUUAGUGUAACAUACAAUCAGUACAAGAAAUGAUGGAAUUAUGUUUAACUUAAUUGUACGGUCCCGUUGAUUGUGUGAUCACUUACAAAAUAUUCAGUUUAGUAUGAAUUUGAACCGAUCUGUUUAGAUGUUGUAUAUGAAGCUACAUUUUUAAAAUAACAAAAAAGGUUUAUUAAAACUCGAUAAACAUACACUACAUAGUUUGGACAAACAACAAAAGAGUUAAGCAGCACCAAAGGACAUCUUAAGCCACUACAGCUAAAGCUAACAAAGAAACAGCGGAAGCAGAAAGUUCACCGAACAUUAGGCUUUAAAAACAAUACACAGAAAAACACAAAGCAACGUAAAAUCAUGACGGGCGUGGAAGGGAAAAUGGGAAAAGCGCUUCCGUAAAGCUACCUCAUCGUAAAAUGCCUUCAGAUCGUUAUCGGAGAAAAUGAAUGAAAUUAUAAAACGUGCCCGACCGGGGGUCUGCUGAUGAUGCGGGAAGGUUGGAAUGAAAGAGACCGAAGUGUUCGCUCCACCCGGCAGUUAGGAUAUGGUGUAGCAAAGCUACUGGCAGCAUGAUUCUUGGAAAGUUGGCGAACAACCAACCGAAGUGAGGUGCUUCCGGGUUCAAUUUGUAGCGCUUUCCCUAAAACUUCGGUGUGUUUGUGUGCAGCUAUACAAACGGAUUUGUUGUUAAUCGAUGAAAAACGAGCAAAACAAUGGUAGAUUGGUCUCCGACAACGAUUGUGUGCUGCGGCGUUGUGAGGGCA